rnacentral:rRNA from 1 species
GAUGAACGCUGGCGGCGUGCUUAACACAUGCAAGUCGAACGAUGAAGCCCAGCUUGCUGGGUGUGUUAGUGGCGAACGGGUGAGUAACACGUGAGUAACCUGCCCUUGACUCUGGGAUAAGCCUGGGAGACUGGGGCUAAUACUGGAUAUGACUUCUCAUCGCAUGGGGUGGGGGGGAAAGAUUUAUUGGUCUUGGAUGGACUCGCGGCCUAUCAGCUUGUUGGUGAGGUAAUGGCUCACCAAGGCGACGACGGGUAGCCGGCCUGAGAGGGUGACCGGCCACACUGGGACUGAGACACGGCCCAGACUCCUACGGGAGGCAGCAGUGGGGAAUAUUGCACAAUGGGCGCAAGCCUGAUGCAGCGACGCCGCGUGAGGGAUGACGGCCUUCGGGUUGUAAACCUCUUUCCGUAGGGAAGAAGCGAGAGUGACGGUACCUGCAGAAGAAGCGCCGGCUAACUACGUG